rnacentral:rRNA from 1 species
GUGUCAGCCGCCGCGGUAAUACGUAGGGUGCGAGCGUUGUCCGGAAUUACUGGGCGUAAAGGGCUUGUAGGUGGUUUGUCGCGUUGUUCGUGAAAUGCCACAGCUUAACUGUGGGCGUGCGGGCGAUACGGGCAGACUGGAGUACUGCAGGGGAGACUGGAAUUCCUGGUGUAGCGGUGGAAUGCGCAGAUAUCAGGAGGAACACCGGUGGCGAAGGCGGGUCUCUGGGCAGUAACUGACGCUGAGGAGCGAAAGCGUGGGGAGCGAACAGGAUUAGAAACCCGCGUAGUCC